rnacentral:rRNA from 1 species
UUAAGUCAGGCAACAAGCGAGAUCCCUGCUUCUAGUUGCUACCAUUGCUCUCAGGAGUAAUGGGGCUAAUUAGAGGGACUGCCGUCGCUGAGGCGGAGGAAGGAGGGGGCUACGGCAGGUCAGUAUGCCCCGAAACCCUCGGGCCACACGCGGGCUGCAAUGGUAAGGACAAUAAGUUCCUAGUCCGAAAGGAGGAGGUAAUCUCCAAACCUUACCUCAGUUAUGAUUGAGGGCUGAAACUCGCCCUCAUGAAUAUGGAAUCCCUAGUAAUCGCGUGUCACUAUCGCGCGGUGAAUACGUCCCUGCUCCUUGCACA